UGGCUUAGACGGUAAAGCGUCUGCCUACAAUGCGGGAGACCCGGGUUCGAUCCCUGG
rnacentral:tRNA from 1 species